rnacentral:lncRNA from 10 species
ACCGUGCCCAGCGCCUGGCCCGCCCGGCCCGACCCACGGAAAUUAUGAAACUGCAGAUUUCAUGUAACAACUUGGUGGCACCGGGGGGGAAGUACAGUCACCUAAUAAGUUGCCGGCGCCCGCGCCCCCAUUGGCCGUGCGCGUCACGUGCCCGUCCAGCAGAACAAUAACGCGUAAAUCACUCCGCACGCUAUUAAUGGUCCGAUGUUUUGCAGUCAUAAUUUUUAUAGCAAAAGCCAUAUGUUUUUAUGUAAAGGGAUCGUGCCGCUCUACGAUGGGGUUUGUUUUAAUUGUGGCCAACGACGAUUAAAAGAUCAAAUCUAGCCUUGUCUCUGUACUCUCCCGUCUCCCCCCCCAUACACACACUUCUUAAGCGGACUAUUUUAUAUCACAAUUAAUCACGCCAUCAAGAAGGCGCGGGUCCCGCGUGCGAGUGCGGCCAGCGGAGCCCCUCACAUAAAAUUAGACAAUAAUUGAAGCCAUAAAAAAGCAGCCAAAUCGCAUUGUCGCUCUACUGUAUUUAAAUCUAUAUUUAUGAUAUUUCAUAAGGAGUUAUUGUUUCAGAAGCCACACAGGCUGGCGGGAAGUCGGAAACGACCAACAGAUUCGUUUGCCUCGCCGUGGCUCCCAGCUGUAAAAAUUUACGAGGACUUGGAAAGGUUAGACUGUUGUGUUUGGUUGGCGAGCUCCCUGUAAAUAAUCCCUGCGGUCCCCGGGAGAGGCGAGUUUACCCGCGGCCGCCCUCGAAAAGUCAAAUUCAACGCAGGAUCCGUCCCAAACGGAGCCGCCGCCGGCCCUACCAGGGCACUCCAGGCAGGGACCGGCCGCUCAGGGAGUACCGCGGGUGUAGGUCCCCACAGCUACCCGCCUGGAGCGAGGGGCGCCCGGGCAACCCUUAAAUUCGCCUUUGCUACGAGGACCCCACGGAGGAGCUGGCCAGGAGGGAGCGGCCAGCCGCCACCAGGGCGAAGGUUUUGAGGGCCUGGUUGGUUGUGCGGCGCGCUCGGUCCCCGGCCCUCGACCCCACGCACACGCGCGCCCAGCCCGCCUUUCUCAUCAGCUGGCAAUCAGGAUUCCCAGGCGCAGGCGGCUGGCGACCCAGCCCUGUGCUCCAGCCUCAGAGGCUCUAACCAUGAGCGCUGCAAGCCUGGUUGCGCUCCGUGAAUCCCAGCUGGGGAAAAAACUACAAGUGGCAUGAAUGGAAGGCAAGUUCGGUUUGGGAAAAGGCAGCCUCGCCUAAGAGACCCCGCAGCUCCGGAACCUGGGAGGCCCGCACCGAUGUGGCCUGUCCCGGGGCCGCGUGAGCCUUUCAGGGCUCCUUCCUCCCUUUCCAGCUGCUACUCCGGGCCUCGCCUUGGUUACCUACGGGGCCCGGAGACUCGGCGGAGAGGUACAAGGCCCAAAGAGAGGCAGCCACAGCUCAAGGCCAGGGCUGGAAAUUAGAACGGGGAGGGGUAAAAGGGCAUCGACUCCAGUCCCAUUCCUGGGCCUGGCCACGUUGGGGAAGUUUAUUUCUCACCCGUUGGGGGUAAAUUAAAAGGUCGCCGCCACUCCGUUAAUUGGAAGGAAACUCCCCCUGCCCCCAAUUCCUAACAGAAAGCAGCGACUCCUAGAACAGGGGUAAUCAAAUUCACGUGUGGAUACUGUGCCUGCAACAGUGUGUUUUUCAUUAGCCCACUUCCCUGGCGGCGAGGCUGGCGGCCUCGGGCGCUUCCAUCUCUCUCUCUCUCUUUUGCCUUCAUCCUCACCAGCAGUUCCAGUAAUCCCCCCCUCAAACACCCUGACACACUUCCGGCUGGGACUCCCAAAUACCAGCGAGGCUGCCAAGCCGCGCGGAUACCGACUGGGUGCCCCUUCCUGCACCCGCGCCUGGAAGAGGGAAGUGGCCGACACAAUGAACUCCGAAAUGGCCCCGUCCUGUCCGCCUCAUCUCCCUCCCCCUAAUAUUUUCCUUGCCCCAUAAAUUCCUCUAGGUCAUGCCCACCCCCACCACAGUCCACCGUGUCCUAAAUACCCCGCAGUCCGCCAGGCCUCUGAGAUUUUCAUUUAAAAAAUUAACCCUGGAGGAAACCCUGGCUCCCAAUUUUAAGUGUCUGCAAAUGGGCUGGGCAUGUCUGGAUGCCUUUUCCACGUUUUAUGCCUGAGAAGACACUGAUUAUUUCAGUAUUUUUUAAGUAAAAAAGCUGUUCCUUUAAACAGCCUUAGCCCCAAAAUAAGAGAGUUACUGAACAAUUAGCAGGCGUUGAGUGUUAAGCAGAUGUUACUGGUGCCUAGAAAGCGGAGAAAAAUCAGAAAACCAAAUAUUGUCUUCCUUCAGCCCAAAGGUUUGGAGCCAGAAUAGUCUGACUUUUUUGUCUGCUUUUAUUUUCGAAGUGAAAGAGAUUGCGUAUGCAUAAAGAAAUAAUAAAUGAGUAUAAUUUAAAGCGGCCCCUUCUCGACUGAGAUUUCUGAAACUGUGAUCUCUGAAAUAAAUCCAAUGCCCUGGUCCAGAAAAUGGCAGGGAGGAGUUGAAGGGAAUGGGGUGUGUGGUCCUUUCAGACAGCAGGUCGGUGGCUGUGCAACGAAAGAGUUCCUGGGCCUCCAGUCCAGGCAGGGAAAGGAAACAGCUUUGUGGGCACGAAUCUGUAACUGUGUGUGUUGGGAGUAGGGAGAGAUAGUUUGUUUUCUGUUUUCUGUAGGGAAAAUGGUCAGACUGGCUCCCAUCUGUAGACUACAAUUUGGAACGAUGACUCAAGUUUAUAUCAAUGGCUCUGGAAUUUGGGAUUCUUUUUGCCCAUUUAAAACAUACUGGCUCUUGGAAGGGUCCCCUUCUCCAGCACCCAGCUGCACAAAGGUGCUGUAUGGAACAUAUUUUGUACCUAAUGGAAGCCACUAGUAAGCAAGCAGUCAAGCUUUGCCCUAGCCAGUCUCCCUCAAUGCGGUCAAACCCCAAGCUGUGACCGGCAGGCCGGGAAGAGCCAGCUAAGAGCUUCCCAGCGAAUGGCCAGGCUCCAGCGAGGCUGGUUGGGCCUCAGCUCCAGUCCCCAGUGAGGCUGGCGAAGGCCUCCCUGCCCUCGAUAUGGGCACACAAAGCUGCAGCGAAUGUCCCCUAAUCAGAUCUCCUAGUCAGCCGUUAGCGACAGGCGAAGAAACGCAAGGCUGCCGCCAUCCGGUCGUGAUCAUAACCGAGGCCUUGUCUGCAGAGUAACACACCAGGCCCAAACCCACCGCCCUCGGCAGCCGCCCCACGCGGGCCCUUCCUCGGCAGACUUCCCAACCUCUACUUGAGCCGCAGAGGAAAGUGAGACCCCCUAGGCUCUCCUGAAGCCAGCUCUGGGCCCCUCCCCAAGGAUGCUUUGGGAAGGAGAUAAGGAGGUGAGAUAGAAUCUGGCAGAGACGGAAGAUGAAAAAAAGACCAACGGAAGAAAAGAAAGCAGGAAGGAGCAAAGGAAAGAAGAAAAAAAGAAAGAAGAGAUAAAAGAGGAAGGGAAGACAGGGAAAAGAAGGAAGAAAAGAGAGGCGACUCCUAGCAGCGGCCGAGCUUACAGAGAGAAGGGUGGAGGUGUGUGGUGGAAGGGGAAAGCCGGCCGGCUGGCAAAGCGCUGCGGAGAAAGACACGAGGCUCCUGAGCAGGGAAAGCCGAGGUUGCCACCGCAGGCCUGGCACGACCAGGGCCGUGAUGCCCCGCCCGGCCCGACCCCCGCGCGCAGAGGUACCUGGAGACGAUUUCAACUGAAGUAAUGAAGGCAGUGUCGUGCUGUCGAGAGAAAGGUGGAUCCCAACAACAGGAAACUACCUAAAUCACCGACCAGUUCUGGUGCUGCCCGCGAAGGGCUGCCUCGCCCGCCGCCGCCGCCGCCUCCGCCGCUGCCGCCGCCGCCAAGGAGAGAACCCUGCCAUCGCGCCUGGCCCGGCCCAGCCCAGCCCCUAGGCAACCUGCGCCCGCCAGUGCAACAGAGUGCCCCAGGCGGCCGCAAAUGCGUCAAGGAAGGGGAAGCCACAGGCCCCAGUAAGCCAAAGUCAAGCCCGUUUGCCAACCUGCAUGUCCAUGCCUGUAAGCCCUUCUCUUGGCCAAGGAAGAAAGGAAGAAAGAAAAAAGAAACCCAGG